rnacentral:rRNA from 1 species
UACCAGCUCUCCGAGUGGUGUGGAUGUUUAUUGGGCCUAAAGCAUCCGUAGCUGGCUGGACAAGUCCCCUGUUAAAUCCACCGAUUUAAUCGUUGGUGUGCGGGGGAUACUGUUCGGCUAGGGGACGGGAGAGGCAGACGGUAUUUUCGGGGUAGGGGUGAAAUCCUAUAAUCCCGGGAAGACCACCAGUGGCGAAGGCUGUCUGCUAGGACGCGCCCGACGGUGAGGGAUGAAAGCUGGGGGAGCGAACCGGAUUAGAUACCCGGGUAGUCCCAGCUGUAAACGAUGCAGGCUAGGUGUUUGGACGGCCACGUGCCGUUCUAGUGCCGCAGGGAAGCCGUUAAGCCUGCCGCCUGGGGAGUACGGCCACAAGGCUGAAACUUAAAGGAAUUGGCGGGGGAGCACCACAAGGGGUGAAGCUUGCGGUUU